rnacentral:rRNA from 1 species
UGGGGAAUAUUGGACAAUGGACCAAGAGUCUGAUCCAGCAAUUCUGUGUGCACGAUGAAGUUUUUCGGAAUGUAAAGUGCUUUCAGUUGGGAAGAAAGAAAUGACGGUACCAACAGAAGAAGUGACGGCUAAAUACGUGCCAGCAGCCGCGGUAAUACGUAUGUCACGAGCGUUAUCCGGAUUUAUUGGGCGUAAAGCGCGUCUAGGUGGUUAUGUAAGUCUGAUGUGAAAAUGCAGGGCUCAACUCUGUAUUGCGUUGGAAACUGUAUAACUAGAGUACUGGAGAGGUAAGCGGAACUACAAGUGUAGAGGUGAAAUUCGUAGAUAUUUGUAGGAAUGCCGAUGGGGAAGCCAGCUUACUGGACAGAUACUGACGCUGAAGCGCGAAAGCGUGGGUAGCAAACAGGAUUAGAUACCCUGGUAGUCCACGCCGUAAACGAUGAUUACUAGGUGUUGGGGGUCGAACCUCAGCACCCAAGCAAACGCGAUAAGUAAUCCGCCUGGGGAGUACGUACGCAAGUAUG